rnacentral:rRNA from 1 species
ACUGUGAGGUAUGCUGGAGGUAUCAGAAGUGCGAAUGCUGACAUAAGUAACGAUAAAGCGGGUGAAAAGCCCGCUCGCCGGAAGACCAAGGGUUCCUGUCCAACGUUAAUCGGGGCAGGGUGAGUCGACCCCUAAGGCGAGGCCGAAAGGCGUAGUCGAUGGGAAACAGGUUAAUAUUCCUGUACUUGGUGUUACUGCGAAGGGGGGACGGAGAAGGCUAUGUUGGCCGGGCGACGGUUGUCCCGGUUUAAGCGUGUAGGCUGGUUUUCCAGGCAAAUCCGGAAAAUCAAGGCUGAGGCGUGAUGACGAGGCACUACGGUGCUGAAGCGACAAAUGCCCUGCUUCCAGGAAAAGCCUCUAAGCAUCAGGUAACAUCAAAUCGUACCCCAAACCGACACAGGUGGUCAGGUAGAGAAUACCAAGGCGCUUGAGAGAACUCGGGUGAAGGAACUAGGCAAAAUGGUGCCGUAACUUCGGGAGAAGGCACGCUGAUAUGUAGGUGAAGCGACUUGCUCGUGGAGCUGAAAUCAGUCGAAGAUACCAGCUGGCUGCAACUGUUUAUUAAAAACACAGCA